GGAUGGCAGUGAUGAUUUUCACAUUUAUUGUUCACCUGAUUACAUCAAAAUGAGGGUGUACAGUCACUACCUCAUCUGAUGCCAUCU
rfam:Tupaia chinensis contig78047, whole genome shotgun sequence.